UCCAGUAAUAGUUACAUCCUUUUUAGUCAUGAAUAAUUGACUCGAUUAUAUUGUGCAGUAAUUUAUUAACUGAGGAUUAGAAUGCAACUUUUAACGUUAAAUUGGAAGUUCACGGAAGCGUGCAAUAAACAUCAACAUAUCAAAUGACACAAACAAAAUCAUUGUAUCAACAUCAAGCAACAGGACUUUAGGAAGCAAUUUAAUUUACUCAUUAGUUCACUUCGGGGUAUACCCGAUGUUCCAUUAGCAUGAAAUAAUUUAUUAAGAAUUACUUCUAAACGACUGGAGGCAGGCAGAGAAUAAAAAUUUCCAGGAUUAUUAUGCGAUCUGCAUUAACUAUGCAUCAUACCAGGUACUUGGUGAAUUCGACAUUAAAUUUCCAAUCAUUUGCUCCUGUGGCUGAUCGGAAAUUUGAUUUUCUUGUCUUAAGUGACGCUUGCAAAGGAUGUUUUGAAAAUGGAUUUCGCAAAAAUGGUAGAAGAAAAAUUGUAUUGGCUUUUCAUAUUUUAAAGUCUCUCUAGCUACACAUAUGUAUUUUUUACAAAUUUUCAAAUGACUAAAACCAUUUUUUUUUCAAAUGCAACUUUUUUGCUGGAUUGCUGGACACUUUUCUCCAAAAUAAACCCCAUGUCUUCUAAUUCUUUGGUCGAAAACUUCAUUUUUGUGACAUAAUAUGAAAUCAACGCAACAGUUGGAAAUUUUCACAAAACUCUCUUAUAUGGGUAUGGAACAUAAUGGUAUCAAAAAACGUAGACUGAGAUGCCGAGUAAAUUUGAUUAAAAAGACAUGGUUUUCACGUGAAAAAAAGUUAGUCAAUUGAAAUAUUUGAAGUUCUAGUAAUCGUAGAAAAUACAUAUGAGCAGCUAAUAAAAUGAUAAAACACUAAAAAGAAAGUCUUUCUCUAACUAUUGGCGAAAGAAGGAGUCGCUAUCUCUAACUGUUUCUGAGAAAUCAUUUUAUAAUUACCCAUUGCCAGAAUCACUUUGCACAAGAAAAUUAAAACUGCCGGUCAAUCAUAGGUGCAAAUGAUCGACAAUGGGGCAUCAAAUGAUUGCAAAUUUAAUUUUAAUGCGCUUUUAUGAGACUGUUAACCGGAAAAGAAUUUUAACAUCUGCGCGAGUGAAUAAACCACGAUAUUUUUAUUUUCUGUUUCUGUUUUAUCUCUGAAAGCAGUUUAGCGGUUUUCAUAAUGUGUGAGAUUUUUCCCACUUCCGCAACUAUGUCAAAUGCUAAAUGGAUCCUGAUGCUGAUCUAAUUUAAGACCGAGACAUUGGCAAUAAAUCAAAAAAUAUUCCAGGAAA